UCGGGAAUUUUGGGCAAUGGGCGAAAGCCUGACCCAGCAACGCCGCGUGAAGGAUGAAGUAUUUCGGUAUGUAAACUUCGAAAGAAUAGGAAGAAUAAAUGACGGUACUAUUUAUAAGGUCCGGCUAACUACGUGCCAGCAGCCGCGGUAAUACGUAGGGACCAAGCGUUGUUCGGAUUUACUGGGCGUAAAGGGCGCGUAGGCGGCAAUUCAAGUCAUCUGUGAAAUCUCCGGGCUUAACUCGGAACGGUCAGAUGAUACUGCUUUGCUAGAGUGCAGAAGGGGCAAUCGGAAUUCUUGGUGUAGCGAUGAAAUGCGUAGAUAUCAAGAGGAACACCUGAGGUGAAGACGGGUUGCUGGGCUGACACUGACGCUGAGGCGCGAAAGCCAGGGGAGCAAACGGGAUUAGAUACCCCAGUAGUCCCUGAGCGGGCUGGCAAGGCGCAU
rnacentral:rRNA from 1 species